AUGGACACACGGACAGAUGGGCACACCCUGACGGACAAACCACGGACAAAUGCAACGGCCACGUUCAUGCAUCCAGCAGGGCCCCCCUGCCCCGGCACGGUGCCCUGGGAGCACUGCGGUGCUGGGGACCGGUGCUCCCCCUGCCCCGGGGGCCCCCAGCUGCCCUCACCCUGCCUGGGGACACAGGAGGUGGGGGGGACACGGGCUCAGCCCUGGGGACACGGGGAGGGGGGCUCGGGGGCUCUGCACGGACCCAGCACUGCGGCUCAGGUGGGGGGUCCCGGCCCCCCCUGCCUCCUGUCCCUCCCCACAGCACGUCCCCAUCCCCAGCACAGCAGGGCCACGGGGUGGGGGCAGAGCGCCAGCGGCUGGGGGCUCCCCGACUGCCUGGGCGAGCCCCCAGUGCUGCGGGGGGGCCCCCACACCCCGUGCCGCAGCACCGGGCCCCCCUCCAGCACACGAGGGGUGGGGGGCAGCAUGCUGUGCCCCCCCGGCAGGCCCCAAGCAGCACUAUGCCCACGGGACCGGACCCCAGUUCUGCAGGGGACGGGGUGGGGACGGACCCUACUCUAUCGGUGGGGGUGCUGGGGGGGGGGCACAUGCAGGGCAGGCGCAGCCCCGAGGGCACCACCACGUGCAGGAUCCCCGGAGCUAUCUGCCCUUCAUGAAGCCGUCGAGGACGCGGUCGCUGCGGUCGGAGAGCCAGUAGCCGGCCAUGGCGGCCACGGCGCCGAUGAAGAUGGCGGUGAACACCAUGUCGCCCUUGGCGGCCAGCGUGGCGAGGGCGCAGAUCAUCACCCCGAAAAACAUCUGCUGCAGCACCACCACCUCGUCCUCCGUCACGUCGUCGAAGAAGCCCUUCUCCGGGGCGUCUGCGAAGGCGAUGCCGGUGAGCGAGGGCACGGCGGGACGCCCCCCCCUCCCCCCAUUUUGGUGCCCCCACCACCCCAAAUCCCGGCUCCCAGCCGUACCGGGGGGUUUGUCCUCCACGCACUGCCCGUCCCGGCGCACGUGGCCCUGGGCGCAGACGCAGCGGUAGCCGCCCUCCGUGUUCUCGCACACCUCCUGCACCCCGCUGCAGACGGGCUCCUCGGCGCCGGCGCACUCGUCCACGUCUGCGGGGAGGCGGGCAGGGCUCGGGCAGCGGGGAGGGGGGGG
rnacentral:lncRNA from 1 species